UCAAUCUAUUCACAUUUGUCUUCAUCUUCUUCGUUUUUCUUGACCUAACCACUAAUUUCUUUCCUAUCAUUUUUUUUGUUAAUCGUCACAACAAACUCAAUCAUAACAUCAAACUCAAUCUUCUUCAUCUCGGUUGAAAAAUCUUCAAAAAUUAAGUUUUGGGAGAAGGGCUAUGAGGCAUGUUGCUCAGACACCAAUUAACAGAGGAAGAACAUUCUACACUUACUCAAUCAAUAAGAUCAAGGAAGAAAGGGUGAGAUCCACCAAGGAAGAGAGAUUGAGAGACAUCAAAAUUCAGAUGUAGUGUUCAAGGUUGGAGUUAAUACCAAAAUUGUUUCUAUGACUUCUGAUUUAAAGAUGUUUAAAACACUUGUAACCGAUGCAUUUGUCAUGCAAAUGUUGCAUAUGGUUUGUUUUCAUAAGUCAUAAAUUGGGUUUAAUAGUUUGAGUAGUUUUUAAUAUGAGUAGUUUGUAAGGUGUUUUAUGUUUGUCAUGUGACUAAUUAUUUGAACUUAAUGUAUUUUGUGUUCUUUUAAGUGAAAUGAAA